rnacentral:misc_RNA from 1 species
AACGCACAUUGCGCCCCCUAGCACUCUAGAGGGCAUGCCUGUCCGAGCGUCAUUUCAACCCCUCAAGCGCUGUUCCGCUUGGAGUUGGGGCUCUUGCAGCGAGCACAUGGUGCCUUGCAAGCCCUGAAAUACAGCGGCGGGCCCGCCGGCACACCGAGCGCAGUAAUACUACUUCUCGUUCAGGGCGUGCGGCGCGGCGCAGCUGACCCCAAAACUUUUUACAAAGUUGACCUCGGAUCAGGUAGGACUACCCGCUGAACUUAA